rnacentral:rRNA from 1 species
UACGUAGGUGGCGAGCGUUGUCCGGAUUUACUGGGCGUAAAGGGAGCGUAGGCGGAUUUUUAAGUGAGAUGUGAAAUACUCGGGCUCAACUUGAGUGCUGCAUUUCAAACUGGAAGUCUAGAGUGCAGGAGAGGAGAAUGGAAUUCCUAGCGUAGCGGUGAAAUGCGUAGAGAUUAGGAAGAACACCAGUGGCGAAGGCGAUUCUCUGGACUGUAACUGACGCUGAGGCUCGAAAGCGUGGGGAGCAAACAGG